rnacentral:rRNA from 1 species
AGUAAUGCCUAGGAAUCUGCCUGGUAGUGGGGGACAACGUUUCGAAAGGAACGCUAAUACCGCAUACGUCCUACGGGAGAAAGCAGGGGACCUCCGGGCCUUGCGCUAUCAGAUGAGCCUAGGUCGGAUUAGCUAGUUGGUGAGGUAAUGGCUCACCAAGGCGACGAUCCGUAACUGGUCUGANAGGAUGAUCGGUCACACUGGAACUGAGACACGGUCCAGACUCCUACGGGAGGCAGCAGCC